rnacentral:tRNA from 1 species
CGGUGGUGGCCGAGGCCGCGACCGCCCGGUUGCUGGCCGGGCUGGGCGAGCCGUUCCGGAUCGGCGACCAGCAGC